rnacentral:misc_RNA from 1 species
GAGGUGGGGAGGGAGAGACCCACUCUCCGGGUGAAAAAGACAGUUGUUCCCCUGCCCGAAAAGGGCAGAGGAAGGCCACACAGGGUAGAGGAGAAAUGGCUAAGACUACAUAAGCAAGAACGAUUUGGGAGAAAUUCUCUCUCUACAAAAUAGAGAGUGCAGGACUUCCAUUUGAAGCCGAAUGAUAGCAAACAAAAGAGGGUGAGCUUGUGAUGGUGUAUUUUUUGUAUUGAUAGUCCAAAUCAAAAGUUAUGUCGCCAAGCUUAUUUGUAUAUUCAGCAACGUGUCAGAUUAGGAGAAAUUAUAUGCUAUCACUACUAUUUCAUGUAAGCUAAUUUCCAUAAAAUGGCAAGCCAAUAGAGUAUAAAUAUAUAUAUAAAUAAAUGGACUC